rnacentral:rRNA from 1 species
UAAUACGGAGGGGGCGAGCGUUGUUCGGAAUCAUUGGGCGUAAAGGGCGCGUAGGCGGCCUUGCAAGUCGGGUGUGAAAUCCCUCGGCUCAACCGAGGAACCGCACUCGAUACUGCCGGGCUAGAGUCCGGGAGGGGAUGGUGGAAUUCCCAGUGUAGCGGUGAAAUGCGUAGAUAUUGGGAAGAACACCGGUGGCGAAGGCGGCCAUCUGGACCGGUACUGACGCUGAGGCGCGAAAGCUAGGGGAGCGAAUGGGAUUAGAUACCCCGGUAGUCCUAGCUGUAAACGAUGGGCACUUGAUGUGGCAGGUUCUGACCCCUGCCGUGUCGAAGCUAACGCGUUAAGUGCCCCGCCUGGGGAGUACGGUCGCAAGGCUG